UGGGGAAUUUUGGACAAUGGGGGAAACCCUGAUCCAGCCAUCCCGCGUGUGCGAUGAAGGCCUUCGGGUUGUAAAGCACUUUUGGCAGGAAAGAAACGUCGCGGGUUAAUACCCCGCGGAACUGACGGUACCUGCAGAAUAAGCACCGGCUAACUACGUGCCAGCAGCCGCGGUAAUACGUAGGGUGCAAGCGUUAAUCGGAAUUACUGGGCGUAAAGCGUGCGCAGGCGGUUCGGAAAGAAAGAUGUGAAAUCCCAGAGCUUAACUUUGGAACUGCAUUUUUAACUACCGGGCUAGAGUGUGUCAGAGGGAGGUGGAAUUCCGCGUGUAGCAGUGAAAUGCGUAGAUAUGCGGAGGAACACCGAUGGCGAAGGCAGCCUCCUGGGAUAACACUGACGCUCAUGCACGAAAGCGUGGGGAGCAAACAGGAUUAGAUACCCUGGUAGUCCACGCCCUAAACGAUGUCAACUAGCUGUUGGGGUCUUCGGACCUUGGUAGCGCAGCUAACGCGUGAAGUUGACCGCCUGGGGAGUACGGUCGCAAGAUUAAAACUCAAAUGAAUUGACGGGGUCAUAGCUGUUU
rnacentral:rRNA from 1 species